AGAUGGAUCAUUCAUAACUUAUUGUUAGCUAUUGGUAUAAAAAUUUUUAUUAAACGAACUGAAUGUGAAUGGUGUCCUUAUAUGUUUGAAAAACACACUGUAAAAACAUGAUUUUCAGCGAUGGAUGUCUUGGGUCCCGUAACGAUGAAGGGCGCAGCUAGAUGCGAUAUGCAGUUUGACUUGCAAACUUCAGUGAAACAUUAGAUACCUGAACGUAAAAGGUGCUUCUGAAUUCUUUUCAGAAGUAUGCUCACUUCAGUGCUUCAUAUAAUUGUUGCUCAAACGUUGAGUUGGCAACGAGUAUAAUUGCUGUGAGAUCAACGGCAAUUUAAGUUAAAUGGUAUUAGCUUAUUGGUAGUAAAAAAAAGUUCUUACAUAUACUUUUUGAAGGAGCCUGAAUUUGAGCCAGAGUACCCGCUGAACUUAAGCAUAUUAUUAAGCGGAGGAGAAGAAACUAACUAGGACUUUCUUAGUAACUGCGAGUGAACAGGAAAGUGCUCAAACUGAAAAUUGGCAAGUAUUUGUCGAAUUGUAGUUUCAUGAAGUGCAGCUUGUGAGUGUUCUGGGUUAAGUCUCUUGGAAAAGAGUACUAAGAAGGGUGAAAGUCCCGUUUUUGCUCAGGAACAAUUACGUUAAGUGCAUUUUCAAAGAGUCGCGUUCUUUGAGAUUAGAGCGCUAAGUCGGUGAUAAAUUUCAUCUAAAGCUAAAUAUAAACGGGGUUCCGAUAGCGUACAAGUACCGUGAGGGAAAGACGAAAAGGACUUUGAAAAGAGAGUUAAAAGGAACUGAAAUUGCUGGAAAGGAAGCAGAGAGUUUUAACAGUCCAACGAAUCUUGGUAUUUACAUUAGUGAGAGUUGUCUAACUGGUGUUGACGCUAUAGUUUUGUGGUGACUCUGGAAGAAAUCAUUCUUUUUGGUUAAAGUAUUGAUGUGAGUCCUUUUGGUCUCACUUUUUUACUGCCGUUGGUUUGAGUGAUUUUAACCACUAGUGCAGCCUUUGCGGUUGUACUAUAAUAUUCCAGUGUUUGUUGUUUCUCUCUGUCCCGUCUUGAAACACGGACCAAGGAGUCUACCUUCUGUGCAAGUGCAAUGGUGGUAAACCAGUGCGCGAAAUGAAAGUAAUAAUCGAGAAGGGCAACCGUCAUUGAGUCCCGGUUAAAAAGCUGAGGCUGAGCAUAGAGAGUAGGACCCGAAAGAUGGUGAACUAUGCCUGAGUAGGGUGAAGCUAGAGGAAACUCUGGUGGAAGCUCGCAGCGAUACUGACGUGCAAAUCGUUCGUCAAACUUGGGUAUAGGGGCGAAAGACUAAUCGAACUAUCUAGUAGCUGGUUCCCUC
rnacentral:misc_RNA from 1 species